UACGGGGGGGAGCAAGCGUUGUUCGGAUUUACUGGGCGUAAAGGGCGCGUAGGCGGCGCAACAAGUCACUUGUGAAAUCUCCGGGCUUAACCCGGAGCGGUCAAGUGAUACUGUCGUGCUAGAGUGCGGAAGGGGCUACUGGAAUUCUCGGUGUAGCGGUGAAAUGCGUAGAUAUCGAGAGGAACACCCUGCGGGCGAAGGCGGCAUCCUGGACCGACAUUGACGCUGGAGGAGCGAAAGCUAGGGGAGCAAACGGG
rnacentral:rRNA from 1 species